rnacentral:rRNA from 1 species
UGCCAGCAGCCGCGGUAAUACGGAGGGUGCAAGCGUUGUUCGGAUUUAUUGGGCGUAAAGCGCGCGCAGGCGGGCUGACAAGUCAGAUGUGAAAUCUCGGGGCUCAACCCCGAAACUGCGUCUGAAACUGUCAGUCUAGAGUAUCAGAGGGGGCAGGGGAAUUUCACGUGUAGGGGUAAAAUCCGUAGAGAUGUGAAGGAACACCAGUGGCGAAGGCGCCUGCCUGGAUGAUUACUGACGCUGAGGCGCGAAAGCGUGGGGAGCAAACAGGAUUAGAUA